rnacentral:rRNA from 1 species
GACGAACGCUGGCGGCGUGCUUAACACAUGCAAGUCGAACGGAAAGGCCCUGCUUUUGUGGGGUGCUCGAGUGGCGAACGGGUGAGUAACACGUGAGUAACCUGCCCUUGACUUUGGGAUAACUUCAGGAAACUGGGGCUAAUACCGGAUAGGAGCUCCUGCUGCAUGGUGGGGGUUGGAAAGUUUCGGCGGUUGGGGAUGGACUCGCGGCUUAUCAGCUUGUUGGUGGGGUAGUGGCUUACCAAGGCUUUGACGGGUAGCCGGCCUGAGAGGGUGACCGGCCACAUUGGGACUGAGAUACGGCCCAGACGCCUACGGGAGGCAGCAGUGGGGAAUAUGGCACAAUGGGCGGAAGCCUGAUGCAGCAACGCCGCGUGCGGGAUGACGGCCUUCGGGUUGUAAACCGCUGUCGCCGGUGACGAAGCGUGAGUGACGGUAAUGGGUAAAGAAGCACCGGCUAACUACGUG